AGCUUUGCGCAGUGGCAGUAACAUAGCUGAUGAUAAGGUUCAUCCGAGGCGUGUUUAUUGCUAGUUGAAAACUAUACCCAAUACCCCGCCCUGUGGACGUGUAAACCGUUCGCUGUGGCAAUUUCUGAUGGGUUUCCCGGAAC
ensembl:snRNA U4 U4 spliceosomal RNA